AAAAUGUACAGAAAAGUGAGGUGAGUUUUGUUUUUUUCUGUAGCCAACCUAACGGACAAGGAGCUGAAGAAAUUGCGCAACAAACAAAGACGUGCCCAAAAGAAAGCCCAAUUAGAGGAGGAGAAGAAAAAUGCUGAGAAAGAGAAACUGCUAAAAAACCAAAAGAAGAAAAAAGAGGAGGAUGAGGAGGAGAUUGGAGGACCUAAAGAGGAGCUCAUACCAGAAAAACUGGCAAAGGUUGAGAAUCCUCUAGAAGAAGCGGUAAAGUUUCUGACUCCUCUGAAGAACUUAGUAAAGAAUAAAAUAGAGACGCAUCUGAUGGCCUUUGAGAUCUACCUCAGGAAAGAGAAGUAUCUUUUGAUGCUGCAAUCGGUGAAGAGAGCUUACUCAUUGGACCCUGAUCACCCCUGGCUCCACCAGUGUUUGGUGCGAUUCUUUAAAGGAGUGUCGGACAGUAAGGACAUGCCGGAGGCUGUGCAGACAGUUCUGAAGCAGGAGAUCACAAAACUGUUUGGAGAGAGUGACCCCAAGACUUUCAACAAGAACUUCCUGAGCAAGCAUGCAAACUCAAUACCACACAGAGUUGCAGGUACCCACUUUAUGAUAUUAAUGAAGUUUUGGAAAC